rnacentral:rRNA from 1 species
AAUAGAUACCCCGGUAGUCCACGCCGUAAACGAUGAGUGCUAAGUAUUAGAGGGUUUCCGCCCUUUAGUGCUGCAGCAAACGCAUUAAGCACUCCGCCUGGGGAGUACGGUCGCAAGACUGAAACUCAAAGGAAUUGACGGGGGCCCGCACAAGCGGUGGAGCAUGUGGUUUAAUUCGAAGCAACGCGAAGAACCUUACCAGGUCUUGACAUCCUUCGCUACUUCUAGAGAUAGAAGGUUCCCCUUCGGGGGACGGAGUGACAGGUGGUGCAUGGUUGUCGUCAGCUCGUGUCGUGAGAUGUUGGGUUAAGUCCCGCAACGAGCGCAACCCUUGAUCUUAGUUGCCAGCAUUCAGUUGGGCACUCUAAGGUGACUGCCGGUGACAAACCGGAGGAAGGUGGGGAUGACGUCAAAUCAUCAUGCCCCUUAUGACCUGGGCUACACACGUGCUACAAUGGAUGGUACAAAGGGCUGCAAGACUGCGAAGUCAAGCCAAUCCCAUAAAACCAUUCUUAAUUCGGAUUGCAGG